CCUACGGGGGGCAGCAGUGGGGAAUAUUGGGCAAUGGGCGCAAGCCUGACCCAGCAACGCCGCGUGAAGGAAGAAGGCUUUCGGGUUGUAAACUUCUUUUGUCAGGGACGAAGCAAGUGACGGUACCUGACUAAGAAGCCCCGGCUAACUACGUGCCAGCAGCCGCGGUAAUACGUAGGGGGCAAGCGUUAUCCGGAUUUACUGGGUGUAAAGGGAGCGUAGACGGUCCUGCAAGCCAGAUGUGAAAGCCCGGGGCUCAACCCCGGGACUGCAUUUGGAACUGUAAGGCUAGAGUGUCGGAGAGGCAGGCGGAAUUCCUAGUGUAGCGGUGAAAUGCGUAGAUAUUAGGAGGAACACCAGUGGCGAAGGCAUCUCACGAAUCCGCGAUUGACGCUGAUGCACGAAAGCGUGGGUAUCAAACAGGAUUAGAUACCCGUGUAGUC
rnacentral:rRNA from 1 species